rnacentral:rRNA from 1 species
ACGUAGGGUGCGAGCGUUAAUCGGAAUUACUGGGCGUAAAGCGUGCGCAGGCGGUCCGUUGUGUCCGAUGUGAAAGCCCCGGGCUUAACCUGGGAAUGGCAUGGGAAACUGGCGGGCUGGAGUGUGGCAGAGGGGGGUGGAAUUCCGCGUGUAGCAGUGAAAUGCGUAGAGAUGCGGAGGAACACCGAUGGCGAAGGCAGCCCUCUGGGCCAACACUGACGCUCAGGCACGAAAGCGUGGGGAGCAAACAGGA